rnacentral:lncRNA from 1 species
CCGGUGGGUCACCCAAGACCUGGUUCAUUGCGGUCAGCCUCAAGCUCUGUGGCCUUAUCCUGUUGCAUCAAUGCUGGAGUCGAAGGAACUCCUCAAUCAAGUUGCAAAAGGUCAUCAGAGAGAUAGGUAUCGCCGAGGACGGAGAUGAUUUAAGGGGGGAGUAGUUAACACAUAAGCAAUAACAUGGGACACCCUAACUUAGCGCACAAGAAAUGUGAAAUAUCAUGUGCCGCCCUAACUUAUCCAGUCCGAUACGGAGGGCGCCGAUGCAGUAGAUGCCGUUGCAGCGGGCGGCUCUGUUAUCUGAUUGGGCGCCAGCGAUCGCAUGAUCUUGUUUAUGCGUAGGCGGCUCUUAUCUCUUGUGAGCGCGGACGGCUCGCCGGCUAGGUUUCGGUGUAGGUUUAGAAGUAAGCGUUAGUUUAGAAUUGGACGAAUAAAUGAACGGAGCGUUCAUAUCAACUCCGACACGAGUCGUAAAACGUGUAUUGAUAUAAUCAUAUUGUUGAGCCUUAAGGGCCAACGAAAUAGAGGGCAAUUACCCUCUCAACAUAAUCUUCGGUAGAAGACUCAGUUGCCAACCGCAACCACCGUCCCCCGCUACAAGAGCGGGCCACGGGAACCCGAUCGCUGCCGCCGGAGCCAACGCAACGCAUACCGCAGCUCGGACCAAAAACGACAUAAAGUUAAUUUACAUACAUACCUCCCUAUAUGAGUGAGAAUUAAGGUGCAACAAUCUGGCAUGUUAUUAUAAGUAAUGAAAUUAACUUCCAGCUGAGAGUGCUUAUGAAGUUACAGAAAAAGUAACUCCUGCUUGGUGUAUAGAAAUCACAUGAAUUGUACCAACUCAGGGUACUAAAAAGUUAAACACAUCAAAGGAAAGAAUAAUGCCCGAAAACUUUUCGGACUAAAGUCGUUUAGGCUGCUGCCCGACUCUGACUAAGAUCUGAUCAAAUUCCUUCAUAUAUUGUAUUUAUAUUGCUAGUAUUUUGUUUUCUAUCAUCACUUUCAUUGUAAACAAAGAUCCGUUGGUAAUCUUUUGUCUAAAAAUGUACUACACAUCGGUUAUCUAUCUGCCCAAUGCAUAGAUCGCCUCUAUACCAAAGGACGAGUCUUGCUUGUACACGAAAUACGAGUACAUUAAACACUUUAGUUAAACAUCAAGCUAACAAAUAACAAUCUCUCAUGCAUAUGUAAAGUACAGAAAUACACUUAGGAUUACAUUUACCUAUUGGCAUUUAAAUGUAUACUUUUAAAGUUUAUAUACAUAGAACAUUUAAGAACUCUCAUAUGUAUGUAUGCAUGUGCAUAUAUUAUAG